rnacentral:tRNA from 1 species
AAGAAUGUGGCUCAGUGGUAAAGUGCUUGCCUAGCAUGCAUGAAGCCCUGGGUUCAAUUCCCCAGUACACAUA